rnacentral:rRNA from 1 species
GAUGAACGCUGGCGGCGUGCCUAAUACAUGCAAGUCGAACGAAACUUCUUUAUCACCGAGUGCUUGCACUCACCGAUAAAGAGUUGAGUGGCGAACGGGUGAGUAACACGUGGGCAACCUGCCCAAAAGAGGGGGAUAACACUUGGAAACAGGUGCUAAUACCGCAUAACCAUAGUUACCGCAUGGUAACUAUGUAAAAGGUGGCUAUACUACCGCUUUUGGAUGGGCCCGCGGCGCAUUAGCUAGGUGGUAGGGUAAAGGCUUACCAAGGCAAUGAUGCGUAGCCGAAUUGAGAGGUUGAUCGCCCACAUUGGGACUGAGACACGGCCCAAACGCCUACGGGAGGCAGCAGUAGGGAAUCUUCCACAGUGGGCGAAAGCCUGACGGAGCAACGCCGCGUGUGUGGAGAAGGUCUUCGGAUCGUAAAACCCUGUUGUUAGAGAAGAAAGUGCGUGAGAGUAACUGUUCACGUUUCGACGGUAUCUAACCAGAAAGCCACGGCUAACUACGUG